rnacentral:rRNA from 1 species
AGCGAACGCUGGCGGCAGGCUUAACACAUGCAAGUCGAACGCCCCGCAAGGGGAGUGGCGGACGGGUGAGUAACACGUGGGAACGUGCCUUUAGGUUCGGAAUAACUCAGGGAAACUUGUGCUAAUACCGAAUGUGCCCUUCGGGGGAAAGAUUUAUCGCCUUUAGAGCGGCCCGCGUCUGAUUAGCUAGUUGGUGAGGUAAUGGCUCGCCAAGGCUACGAUCAGUAGCUGGUCUGAGAGGAUGACCAGCCACAUUGGGACUGAGACACGGCCCAAACUCCUACGGGAGGCAGCAGUGGGGAAUCUUGCGCAAUGGGCGAAAGCCUGACGCAGCCAUGCCGCGUGGAUGAUGAAGGUCUUAGGAUUGUAAAAUCCUUUCACCGGUGAAGAUAAUGACUGUAGCCGGAGAAGAAGCCCCGGCUAACUUCGUGCCAGCCGCCGCAGUAA